GAGGUGGGAGGAUUGCUUGAGCUGGGGAGGUUGAGGCUGCAGUAAGUUGUGUUCAUGCCACUGCACUCCACCUGGGUGCCAGAACAAGACCUUGUCUCA
rnacentral:miRNA from 1 species